UACGAACUGUGCAAACGUUAUUCGGAAUCACUGGGCUUAAAGGGUGCGUAGGCGGCUAUGAAGGUCAGGUGUGAAAUCCCACGGCUCAACCGUGGAACUGCGCCUGAAACCACAUAGCUUGAGGAAGUCAGAGGUAAGCGGAACUGAUGGUGGAACGGUGAAAUGUGUUGAUAUCAUCAGGAACACCGGUGGCGAAAGCGGCUUACUGGGACUUUUCUGACGCUGAGGCACGAAAGCUAGGGGAGCGAACGGG
rnacentral:rRNA from 1 species